rnacentral:rRNA from 1 species
GAUGAACGCUAGCGGCAGGCUUAAUACAUGCAAGUCGUGGGGCAGCAUGAAUGUAGCAAUACAUUUGAUGGCGACCGGCAAACGGGUGCGGAACACGUACACAACCUUCCUAUAAGUGGGGAAUAGCCCAGAGAAAUUUGGAUUAAUACCCCGUAAUAUAACGAUGUGGCAUCACAUUGUUAUUAUAGCUUCGGCGCUUAUUGAUGGGUGUGCGGCUGAUUAGAUAGUUGGCGGGGUAACGGCCCACCAAGUCUACGAUCAGUAGCUGAUGUGAGAGCAUGAUCAGCCACACGGGCACUGAGACACGGGCCCGACUCCUACGGGAGGCAGCAGUAAGGAAUAUUGGUCAAUGGACGCAAGUCUGAACCAGCCAUGCCGCGUGAAGGAUUAAGGUCCUCUGGAUUGUAAACUUCUUUUAUCUGGGACGAAAAGAGGCUUUUCUAAGUCACUUGACGGUACCAGAUGAAUAAGCACCGGCUAACUCCGUGCCAGCCGCCGCGGUAAAAC